CACAUGUUCCUAGCCGGACUCUCCUUCUCCCCUCUUCUCCCUCCCCUUCCCCUCCCUCUCUACUCCUUCCCAUGCCCUAAAUAUGGCUGGUCCCUCAGGGGGAAGGGAUGCCUCAGCAUGGGCGACAGAGGCACCCCCUUCACCUCACAAUACCGCGCUCUGCCAAACAUAUCCUGGAUCUUUCUUUUUUAUGCUCCUUACUAGCUGAAGAAUUGUCGAGGAUUCAAGCCAACUUACUACAGCAUCUCCCCACUGACCAGAUCACCUCAGCUGUCCCCGAUCCUGUCUCUUCUUGGCCCCUGGCCCUGGCCCUGCCCCUGCUCUUCCAGGAAGUCUCUGCUCCAAGGGAAAGCAGAGUACAGAUAUGAAAGGCUCAUAGCAACCACCUCCAGCCUGGUCAAUCGCGGGCAUCUUCCUCCCCAACCCCGCAGUUUGGAAAAGUGUCCACUAGGUGGCGAUAGAACGAUGACAUCCGCAACUCCAUCAGUUAUGUUAGCAGAUGUUUGCAGGUCAGAGGCUCCGUACAAGGUCGGGAAGGACCAGCAGACAGAGCAGCGAGGCCCCUGUUCUCAAGGAGCUUGUGUUGUACUUGGAGAGGCAAACUGGAGGGAGACACAGAAAGAGAAAGAAAGUAGAUGAAGCAGGCACCCAGUGUGGUCAUGUUGCCUGACUGGAACUUUGCUUUGGGACCGGACAGGACUGAUUAUAAAAGCCACCAUUCCAGAGACUGGCUAAGCUGAUGAUUGUCCCUCGCCUGACCACUCGGAAUGUAGCUGGAGCCACAACUGCGUGGAGCGCAUAGGAAAGGCAGACUUCCCAUUCCUCAAAUGCGCUCAAUCAGAAUCUGCCUUUUAACAAGGCAUAUCUCAUACACGCGCAGAAGUUGGAGAAUACAGCGCGUUGGGGAUAAAUGACCCCUGUGGGCUAACUCUGGUCACCUGUAGAUUACUGCAGUAAAAGUGGAUCAUGCUCAGAAAAAAAAAAAAUCUAACAACCACUUUGGGAUACAUGAGAAAGAGAUGAUGUUGACAUUUCAGCAGUCACCAAAUAAAGUUUUAUUGGCACUCA
ensembl:lncRNA